rnacentral:lncRNA from 1 species
GGGAUUGGUGUCUGGGAAACUAGUCCUGAGAAACACGGACAUCACCCGGCAUCUUAGCUGGAAACAUCGAGUCAGACCCCUUCGCUUCACAGAAGGGGAAACUGAGGACCAAAGAAGGCGGCCGUCGGGUUGGCGUGGAAAGAGAGCCCUGGUUUCCAGUGCCACCGCGGACCUCAACCCGUGGCGUGGCCUUGGGACACAAAUCCAGGAGCCAUUCCUUCUGCCUGGGAGGAGGGAGUGAUGAAGACCAGAGGAAUCCCAGAGGAGAAGCCAUCUGAGAUCGGGAGGAGGAGAAAUGGAACAUCAGGCGGAGGAAACAGCCCAGACAAUCGCACUGGGACGUGAAAACCCUUGGGCUGCAUGCGGGGAGAAAACCAGAAUUGGGGAUGGUUAGGGUUUUGGAGGGAAACACAGGGACAUGUGACCAAAAAUAAUAAUAACUACUGUUA